rnacentral:pre_miRNA from 15 species
CUCCGGUGCCUACUGAGCUGAUAUCAGUUCUGAUUUUACACACUGGCUCAGUUCAACCUAGAG